rnacentral:rRNA from 1 species
AUUGAACGCUGGCGGCAGGCCUAACACAUGCAAGUCGAACGGUAGCAGGAAGCAGCUUGCUUCUUUGCUGACGAGUGGCGGACGGGUGAGCAAUGUCUGGGAAACUGCCUGAUGGAGGGCGUCAACUACUGGAAACGGUUGCUACUACCGCCUAACGUCGCAAGACCAAAGAUGGUGACCUUCGGGCCUCUUGCCUUCGGCUGUGCCCAGAUGGGAUUAGCUAGUAGGUGGGGUAACGGCUCACCUAGGCGACGAUCCCUAGCUGGUCUGAGAGGAUGAUCAGCCACACUGGAACUGAGACACGGUCCAGACUCCUACGGGAGGCAGCAGUGGGGAAUAUUGCACAAUGGGCGCAAGCCUGAUGCAGCCAUGCCGCGUGUAUGAAGAAGGCCUUCGGAUUGUAAAGUACUUUCAGCGGGGAGGAAGGGAGGAAAGUUAAUACCUUGGCGCAUUGACGUUACCCGCAGAAGAAGCACCGGCUAACUCCGUG